rnacentral:lncRNA from 1 species
AAUAAAUAUUCAAGUCUUACAUCAUAAUCUACUCAAUUACUUUACAUUCCCAAAAUAUACAGCUUCCAAAAUCAAAUUUUAAACAAAUACAUUCACAAUUCUAAUCAAGUGAAGCAUCAAGUAAGCUUCUCCAGAAUUCCUCCCAUUUUAGCUCCUGUUAAGGAAAAACAAAUCUAACGGGUGAGCGGACGCUCGUGAGGCCAAGAAAAUAUGCAAGACAAGUAAUUCAAUAGCAAUAGCACUUACACAACAGUGACAACUAUAACAUUCAAGAAAUUCACAAUUUAUAAUAAACCCCCUUGAGUAGGAUGUAGGAGCUCUCAGGAGCUAAAUCUUUGUUUACUUUGCCCCAAGUUCAAUUCAAUACCUUCUCGUGACGACACCCCGUCACCCGGGUAGAUAAUUAAAUUCAUAGCACUUUACAUAUUUCAUUUAUGUUUCUGAGACGACUUGAGAGGCACCUCCCACCCAAAUCGGUAUGAUAUUUACUAUCGCUCAAUUUAUAGCUCUGAGACUGUCGCGCCCCAUUUUUUUGCGAUGGAAAAAGAAAGUGUUUAUAAAAAAUGUGAUUUAUUAAUAAUAAACGGAAAAGGACCAAGAAUGGGACUUAAAAAAAAUGCGACAAUUUGGGUCCAAAAUUUAGUCUAAAAGGGUUUUGAAGAAAAAUUAGGAGUCGCCACUUGGUAUCAAGUUUGGGUGUACCAAGUCACCCCAAAAUAUUUUUAACAAAAUAAAAUAAAAUAAAACCCUUUUAGACAACUCCAGGUCUUUGAAAACAAGAGAAAAUGAGUUCGGGAGUCACGGUUGAAGAAAGGGAAGGCAAAGGUUCAAUCAACUCAAACCUAAGACACCCUUUCAACCUAGUCUAAGCUAGUUGCGUGGUUUAGUCAAAAUUUUCUUAUUUUAACCCUUAAUUUAUCACAUUUUGAAUGUUUUCUACAUGGAUGCAAAUCUAAAUUCAUAAAAACAUCGAAAGGAACAAAUGUUCAUUCAAGGGUUUAAUUGAACCAAUCGCAUUAAAUGCAAAGGCCAAAAUAAUUCCUUGAAGGUGUCACGAGUAUGUCACGAAGCAAAUGAUGAAAUUAAAAGUAAAGAUAUAGAAAUUAAAUUAUAUACAUAGUUAUAAGUGAUCAAAGAAAAAGGAAAUGCAGCAUAAUGGGUACGGGAGACAAAAACUCGUGACAUAAUUUUCUUAUACAAGGAUUAAUGGGGUAUUUAAACUAAAGAGUUAUAAUCACCCAUAUCCAUGUUCAAAAAUAAUUCUCCUAAUAUGAACAAGCAAAUGAACUAACUUAUUUCACAAUUUCUUAAAUGAAGUGCAAUUCUAAAUGAUUUGAUUAACACAUAUAGAGGGUAGGGGGUAGAGGAUAAUAUAAUAGAAAAUAUCAUGCAAAUGAGAAAAUUCUAAAAAAUAAAAUAUACAUGGAAAUGUAAUGGAUAUCACACAAAAGAUGAAUCUAAUGCAUGAACAAUCUAAGGGUAUAGCGUUGGACUAACCCAUUUCUAAAAAUACUUACUAGCGUUGGACUAGCAAGUAAGCGGAGGGAGAAGCCACAACUAGCGUUGGACUAGUGUGGUGACGUUAUGCAUUAACAAUAUAUAGUGAAGCAAAUAAAGCAUAAAUUAAAACAAAUAAACACAUAAGAGCACGUAACACAUAACACGUAAGCAUAAUAUCUAUAUGCCAAAGUCCUAAGAAAAGCGGAUAAAACACAUAACACAUAAGCCACAUAAACACACAACUUAUCUAUUACAUCGGGGAGCGCCUGACUACAAUCUAGGAGGGAAAAAUAUAAUAAAACAAAUCUAAUUAUCCUAUCUAUUACAUUUUUGAGGUAUUUAAAUACCUCUCGAAUCAUUAUAAAAAUUAACUAAAACGUAUAUAAGAAAAUUUGAAUGAAUAUUUGAAUCAAAUAAAUAAAGCAUAUAAAAAUACAUAAACACAUAGGAACACAUAGAAGCACAUAAGAGCACGUAAUUGACAUUGAAAUAAUAAAAAUAGGGGUACCUCCCGUUUGAAGUGGUGACUAAAUGGGAAAUUGGAUUUGCCCUAUUUACCUCCAAAAUUAACAAAAUCAUCAAGGCACCAAUCUAAUUAACAAAUAAAUCAUAACAAAUGGAAAUAAAAAUAAAAUCAAUCAAUUGAAACACUUAAAUGAAGUGUAAUCAAUGACUAUAGAAGAAAAGCAACUUCUAUUUAAGCAAUCCAAUCUGUUAGGGAUCUAAUUGCAAGAAUAAACAAAGUUUUGGGGUAAAUUAUAAUUAUCAUAAAGAUAUGGGAUAAAAAUUAAAUAAAAAUAAAUUUUAGGGACCUAUUUGCAAUUAUAUUAAGGACCUGAUUGAAAGAAAUCAAAAUAUUUAGGGCCAUAGAGAAAAUGCUCAAAGGUACAGGGACUGAUUUUCAAUUUCGUAACCAGAUUUCUCAGCCAAAUGGGCCACUGGGCCAUCAUUUUAUUUAUUUCUGGGCCAAAAACUACCUAAGCCCAACCGAAACCCAAAGGAAAAUAAAUGGCCCAGCCCAUCUCUUUUGUCAAACAAACCCAGCUGAAAUACAUGGGAUUCAACUCCCAAGCCCAUCCGUAAAACCCAAAAAAAAGAACUAAAACCCAAGUCAAAAUCCAACUAAAAACAAACGCAAGCCCACUAAAACAAAUAACCCAACCCACUUUCCUUUUCUUUCUUUUCUUUUCUUUCUCUUUUCUUCCCCAUACGUUUCCUUUCCUUCUUCUUCGGCCAACCGAAGAAGCUUCAGCUGGCAGCCAUGGUGGCCGCCGGUGGCGCCGCCGCCACCGGACCGCCGCCGCCGAUGACCUCUCCGGUCACCAAAAAUCCUCAAAAUACACCUCCCCACUCGAUUUUUCGCGUAGAUUCCAUUUUCGGAGUUUGUUUUUACAAAAGAUGAUCUGAAAGUGGCCAAAAUGUCAAAAUACAGUCCAGUUUUUAUUUUUUAAAACACCCAAAUCUUUCACCAAAAAUCAUAAAAAAUAUAUUACAAUACUCCUUACAACUUCUGCAAUACAACUAUGAUUUAAUCCGGCAAGAAAACAACAUAAAAAACUAAAAUAAAUCAAAACAGUCCCCAAAAUUCAUUUUUUGUUAUUUUUGCAUUUUCACAAGCAAUUAACAUGCAUUCACAGAAAUCAUUUUUUUUUAUGUUUAUUCAUGGAUUCCCCAAAAAUUCAACAAUAUCAGUAACAACAACAAACGAAGCCAAGGGACAAACAAACAUCAAAUCAUGUAUUUAAUUUAAUAAAUUAAGGAAAGGAAAAAACUGAAAAAGAUGAAAGAAGAAUAAAUACCUCAAUGAAAAUUGUAGUCUCUUGACAAAAUUUGAUGAAAUUACAAGCUCCAAUAAUUUUUAUUGGCUUUGCCCUGUCCAAGAGAAAAUCUGAGAGUGAGUAUUUUAUUUUGCUAAAAAUGAGGAAGAGAAUCUGAGAGAGAGCCGAAAGAUUUUUCUUCCCUUCUGCACCCGAGGCCUGAGAGAGGGAGCAAAUGAGGGAGGUCUAUGGCAAUUUUUCUUCUUCUGCUUCUUUUGCUUUCUUUGCGGCCAAAGGACCUCUGAGAGUCAGUCCCCGAGAGAGUUUUCUUUUCUUCUCUCUUUUGUCCGUUGCUCUCCCGAGAGAAAUGAGGAUUCCGUCGUCUCCCAAAUGAGUUUUCCC